GUUGGGUUUGCGCCAGACAUAGCAUUUUCUUUGAUGGCCGAAAAGUUCAAUUUUAGUCUCAUGAGACCAGAUCACCUUCCUCCAUACAUUUUUGGAGUCUCCCACAUGCCUUUUCGCAAACUCAAAACGUGCCAUUUUGUUUUUUCCUGAAAGUAAUGGCUUUCUUCUGGCCACUCUGCCAUAAAGCCCAACUCUAUGGAGCGUACAGCUUAUUGUCGUCCUAUGUACAGAUACUCCAGUCUCUGCUGUGGAACUCUGCAGGGUUACCUUAGGUCUCUGUGCUGCCUCUCUGAUUAAUGCCCUACUUGCCCGGUCCGUGAGGUUUGGUGGGCGGCCAUCUCUUGGCAGGUUUGCUGUUGUG